AUUGAACGCUGGCGGCAUGCCUUACACAUGCAAGUCGAACGGCAGCACGGGUGCUUGCACCUGGUGGCGAGUGGCGAACGGGUGAGUAAUACAUCGGAACAUGUCCUCUAGUGGGGGAUAGCCCGGCGAAAGCCGGAUUAAUACCGCAUACGAUCCACGGAUGAAAGCGGGGGACCUUCGGGCCUCGCGCUAUAGGGUUGGCCGAUGGCUGAUUAGCUAGUUGGUGGGGUAAAGGCCUACCAAGGCGACGAUCAGUAGCUGGUCUGAGAGGACGACCAGCCACACUGGGACUGAGACACGGCCCAGACUCCUACGGGAGGCAGCAGUGGGGAAUUUUGGACAAUGGGCGAAAGCCUGAUCCAGCAAUGCCGCGUGUGUGAAGAAGGCCUUCGGGUUGUAAAGCACUUUUGUCCGGAAAGAAAUCCUUGACUCUAAUACAGUCGGGGGAUGACGGUACCGGAAGAAUAAGCACCGGCUAACUACGUG
rnacentral:rRNA from 1 species